rnacentral:lncRNA from 1 species
GAGCUAAUUGAAUCUAUCAUAUGACCGAUGAUAAAGUUUGACGAUUCAUCCAUGAUCUGUCAUUUGGUCGAGACUCACGAUAGAGGGACUGUAUCAUACGUUAACUGCACCUAGAGGUUCAUCAUCUUUUAUUCUACUGGGUUGUCACUACAUACUGCUAGGUGUCACUAGUGGAUUGUAAGACCCACAAACAUCAUUUUGAUGAUCGAUGAUCUU